rnacentral:rRNA from 1 species
UACAGAGGUGGCAAGCGUUGUUCGGAAUUACUGGGCGUAAAGGGCGCGUAGGCGGCCUUCUAAGUCAGACGUGAAAUCCCCCGGCUUAACCUGGGAACUGCGUCUGAUACUGGGAGGCUAGAGUAUGGGAGAGGGAUGUAGAAUUCCUAGUGUAGAGGUGAAAUUCGUAGAUAUUAGGAAGAACACCAGUGGCGAAGGCGGUCCUCUGGCCCGCUAUUGACGCUA